AUUGAACGCUGGCGGCAUGCUUUACACAUGCAAGUCGAACGGUAACAGGGAGCUUGCUCCGCUGACGAGUGGCGAACGGGUGAGUAAUAUAUCGGAACGUACCCAAGAGUGGGGGAUAGCGUAGCGAAAGUUACGCUAAUACCGCAUACGAUCUAUGGAUGAAAGCAGGGGACCUUCGGGCCUUGUGCUCCUGGAGCGGCCGAUAUCUGAUUAGCUAGUUGGUGAGGUAAAGGCUCACCAAGGCGACGAUCAGUAGCUGGUCUGAGAGGACGACCAGCCACACUGGAACUGAGACACGGUCCAGACUCCUACGGGAGGCAGCAGUGGGGAAUUUUGGACAAUGGGCGCAAGCCUGAUUCAGCAAUGCCGCGUGAGUGAAGAAGGCCUUCGGGUUGUAAAGCUCUUUUGUCAGGGAAGAAACGGCUGUGGCUAAUAUCCACGGCUAAUGACGGUACCUGAAGAAUAAGCACCGGCUAACUACGUGCCAGCAGCCGCGGUAA
rnacentral:rRNA from 1 species